ensembl:lncRNA
UGACAGGAUUCAACAAUGUAAGAACGAUCUCAGUGAUUGGCUACACUCCAGUACGUAUGAGAGAUUUCCGCCUCCGGAACGAGCUCAGUGAUUGGCUACACUCCAGUACGUAUGAGAGAUUUCUGCCUCCGGAACGAGCUCAGUGAUUGGCUACACUCCAGAAGGAGAUACAGACAAGGCAGAACAUCUAAAAAGGAAGCUGAUAAAUCGGAGCAGGGUGACGGUUGGACUUCCUCCCCUCAGAGUGGAUUUCCCCUCCCUAACCUUGGGAAAGAGAUGCCACGUGCUCCACAGUUAGAGGUUCCACAUCUCUCUGACGAAGACCCUCUGCCAUGUUACCACCACCAACCUUCCACUGUGCCAGACUGCUGACUAGGUCAAGCCAACCAGGAGAGUAAUUGGGAGAGAAUAUCACUGCCCCAGCCAAUGCCAGACAGACAGACAGAUCAAGAUGACCUGGGAAAUCCAUUUGGGCAUUGGCUUACAUCACCUCUCCACACGGGAUCCAGUGAGGGGCCACAGGGAUGUGGAACAAUUGUUGCAGAUCAUGGAAUUCCCAUCGGUUGGAGCUUCCCGCCUGUUUCGUGGUGGAGCUAAAAGUAGCAUCUGCCAUCGUUCAGUCAGAGCAUCAAACUCUCCGAUUAGUUUCCUUCUCCUGACCCAUAAAGUUAGGGGAGCUGUGAAUGUUCUUCUCUCUGUACACUCACUGAGAUGUUUCACAUUGUGUAUAAACCCCAUGACAAACGGUAAGAUGGCGCUUGUCUGUUCUCUUUGAAGAGACUGUGUGGAGAUGGAUUGCACAGGCUCUGCUAUCUGACAGCUAGCUGGGCCUCUAAGUUCACAGUGUUACAGAAAAGCUGGAACAAGCGUGUGGACAUGGAGAAAACACACACUGAAAGACCAUCCCACAGAGAACUAGAAAGAUGUAGAAUGUACUGGAUGAAAUUUCCUAGUCUUUACAACUGACAUGGAGUCAGUCCAAGACACUCACCUUGAACUCUAAAUGGUACACUUCUGUUGUUCCUCUCAUUACCAUUCCUGUCAAGUCCUGUGUUCAUACUGGGAUUAGUACAUAGUUCUCACACCCAUAGGCGGAUGUCAUGAGCAAGACAUAGGUCAAAAGGUUGAAUGUUGUCUGUGUUGUAGGGGUACGGUGUUUAAAAAUGAUUUCUGUCAGAUGUCUGUCUACCUGCUGAAAUCCAAGUUCAGAAGACGUUGCUCUGCUCAGAAUGUAGCAGUUGAGGCAACACUCCCAAAGCAGUACAAAUGUAACAUUUGUUGUGGAGAAAAUAAAUCUGAGCUGUCCGAUACAUUUUAUGCAUAUUGUUGUUCAAAUUUCAGUGAUACAUUUCUGUAGACAAUGAGCAAAAAGCAUCCCUCAAUCGUACAGAGUGCACCUUUCACCAUACCAAGGGUACACACCAAUAACGACCCCAGGUGGCUAAGCAACACACAAACCAGUCCUUCAUUAACCAGUCACUAAGGUUGCUGAGGUGGCAAGUCGCUAAGGUCUGAACUCCAGCUCAAAGGUCAUGCCACAUGACAGCUGCAUUUCCUACAUGUUUUCACAGGUUCUCUAAUCACUGUAGAUUGACAACAGCACAGACGGUCCCAUUCAACCUCCCUGCCUGCCUCUCCCUCAGAUGCCUAGAUUAAACAAACACCCGUGGCCCGUCCUCACAGUCCUGAGUUGCAGCUCCC